rnacentral:rRNA from 1 species
GAUGAACGCUGGCGGCGUGCCUAAUACAUGCAAGUCGAGCGAACGGACGAGAAGCUUGCUUCUCUGAUGUUAGCGGCGGACGGGUGAGUAACACGUGGAUAACCUACCUAUAAGACUGGGAUAACUUCGGGAAACCGGAGCUAAUACCGGAUAAUAUUUUGAACCGCAUGGUUCAAAAGUGAAAGACGGUCUUGCUGUCACUUAUAGAUGGAUCCGCGCUGCAUUAGCUAGUUGGUAAGGUAACGGCUUACCAAGGCAACGAUGCAUAGCCGACCUGAGAGGGUGAUCGACCACACUGGAACUGAGACACGGUCCAGACUCCUACGGGAGGCAGCAGUAGGGAAUCUUCCGCAAUGGGCGAAAGCCUGACGGAGCAACGCCGCGUGAGUGAUGAAGGUCUUCGGAUCGUAAAACUCUGUUAUUAGGGAAGAACAUAUGUAUAAGUAACUGUGCACAUCUUGACGGUACCUAAUCAGAAAGCCACGGCUAACUACGUGCCAGCAGCCGCGGUAAUACGUAGGUGGCAAGCGUUAUCCGGAAUUAUUGGGCGUAAAGCGCGCGUAGGCGGUUUUUUAAGUCUGAUGUGAAAGCCCACGGCUCAACCGUGGAGGGUCAUUGGAAACUGGAAAACUUGAGUGCAGAAGAGGAAAGUGGAAUUCCAUGUGUAGCGGUGAAAUGCGCGGAGAUAUGGAGGAACACCAGUGGCGAAGGCGACUUUCUGGUCUGUAACUGACGCUGAUGUGCGAAAGCGUGGGGAUCAAACAGGAUUAGAUACCCUGGUAGUCCACGCCGUAAACGAUGAGUGCUAAGUGUUAGGGGGUUUCCGCCCCUUAGUGCUGCAGCUAACGCAUUAAGCACUCCGCCUGGGGAGUACGACCGCAAGGUUGAAACUCAAAGGAAUUGACGGGGACCCGCACAAGCGGUGGAGCAUGUGGUUUAAUUCGAAGCAACGCGAAGAACCUUACCAAAUCUUGACAUCCUUUGACAACUCUAGAGAUAGAGCCUUCCCCUUCGGGGGACAAAGUGACAGGUGGUGCAUGGUUGUCGUCAGCUCGUGUCGUGAGAUGUUGGGUUAAGUCCCGCAACGAGCGCAACCCUUAAGCUUAGUUGCCAUCAUUAAGUUGGGCACUCUAAGUUGACUGCCGGUGACAAACCGGAGGAAGGUGGGGAUGACGUCAAAUCAUCAUGCCCCUUAUGAUUUGGGCUACACACGUGCUACAAUGGACAAUACAAAGGGCAGCGAAACCGCGAGGUCAAGCAAAUCCCAUAAAGUUGUUCUCAGUUCGGAUUGUAGUCUGCAACUCGACUACAUGAAGCUGGAAUCGCUAGUAAUCGUAGAUCAGCAUGCUACGGUGAAUACGUUCCCGGGUCU